rnacentral:misc_RNA from 1 species
AUAUCAACGAAGAAGAAAAGAAACAAGAUAUGCUGGACUUUGGACUGUAAAAGUAACGCUAAAAAAGAGAUAUCGUGGAUGACUAUUAUACCUGUUUGAUACUGCUCUGGCAUUUUUUGGGGAAAGCUGUUUAGGAGGUCGUAAAGUUGAGUGGCUGACAGCGGAGGACCAGCUGGUGCCGGAUGACCAACGUGUAGAUCAGGAAUUUGUUGAUUUAUGAUGUAAGGAGUCUGAGCAGCGGUACCAGGGAAACCAACGUGAAGAGAACUGUGAAGAUUCGUUUGCAUAGUUUAGGAGGCUGCGGAGGCGAUAACUGGGGCCUUCUGAUCUUGUACCUGGCUUCGACAAGGCAGACACACACGACCAACAAACAGCACAGCCAAUUUGUCGUCUGGAAUUUGGUUAACAGAGCGCGCCCGUUAUAUGUAUUCCAUGGGAAACAAAAAAUUGGCAGUCGACCAGUUGUCAUCGUAAAAGGUAAGUGGGAGAGAAACGUUUUCUCGAAGAUGAAGGAAGAAACGUAUGGCUAUUUCCCGUUAAUGAUAAUAAUCAGACAUCGACCGAGUAUCCUUUUUUUGUCAUAUAACGGAACUAGUUUCUACGUUGGGUAGACAGGCCUAUUAACUUGAUUUUUCAAUCGUAGCGUAGUUACAGGCGCAUACCUGUAUAUUCGUCCAUCGUAAUACAAUGUGAAGAAUACCGUGACAUAACUAAUGCCAGUGAAAUUGGCAAAAUUGUAUAGCAAUGGGAAGAGUUCUAGUUAAUUGAAGAAAAUUAAUUCAACUGUACGAAGGAAAAUUGUUAAAGUGAAUUAUACGCUGAUACACGAAUAAGAGAUUAUUCGAC